rnacentral:misc_RNA from 1 species
GAUGAAGAACGUAGCGAAAUGCGAUACGUAAUGUGAAUUGCAGAAUUCAGUGAAUCAUCGAAUCUUUGAACGCAUAUUGCGCUCUUUGGUAUUCCGAAGAGCAUGCUUGUUUGAGUAUCAGUAAACACCUCAAAGACUUCAAUUUGUUUUGAAUGGCUUUGGACUUGAGCAAUCCCAACACCAGUCUUUACGAUCGGUGGAGGGUUGCUUGAAAUGCAGGUGCAGCUGGACAUUCUCCUGAGCUAAAAGCAUAUUUAUUUAGUCCCGUCAAACGGAUUAUUACUUUUGCUGCAGCUAACACAAAGGGAGUUUGACCGUAUUGGCUGACUGAUGCAGGAUUUCACAAGGGUCGGCAACGAUUCUUGUAAAACUCGAUCUCAAAUCAAGUAAGACUACCCGCUGAACUUAAGCAUAUCAAUAAGCGGAGGA